AUAGAAACUGAAGGGGAUAUAGUUCCCCGUAACUCGAUGUAU
rnacentral:guide_RNA from 1 species